rnacentral:siRNA from 1 species
CGGCGGGUCGAUCCGGGCGGA